CCUACGGUCGGCAGCAGUGAGGAAUAUUGGUCAAUGGGCGCGAGCCUGAACCAGCCAAGUAGCGUGAAGGAUGACUGCCCUACGGGUUGUAAACUUCUUUUAUAAAGGAAUAAAGUGAGGCACGUGUCCCUUUUUGUAUGUACUUUAUGAAUAAGGAUCGGCUAACUCCGUGCCAGCAGCCGCGGUAAUACGGAGGAUCCGAGCGUUAUCCGGAUUUAUUGUGUUUAAAGGGAGCGUAGAUGGGUUGUUAAGUCAGUUGUGAAGGUUUGCGGCGCAACCGUAAAAUUGCAAUUGAUACUGGCAGCCUUGAGUACAGAUGAGGUAGGCGGAAUUCGUGGUGUAGCGGUGAAAUGCUUAGAGAUCACGAAGAACUCCGAUUGCGAAGGCAGCCUACUAAACUGCAACUGACAUUGAUGCGCGAAAGUGUGGGUAUCAAACAGGAUUAGAUACCCGGGUAGUC
rnacentral:rRNA from 1 species